GGGUGAUUAGCUCAGCUGGUCAGAGCACCGCCCUUACAAGGCGGGGGUCAUAAGUUCAAAUCUUAUAUCACCCACCA
rnacentral:tRNA from 1 species